rnacentral:lncRNA from 1 species
CACUAAGACAACUUUGGCCAAAAUUUUGCUAAAUUGAAACACAGUGAUGCAUCAUCUUCAAUUUUACUUGGAGCAGUCAAUGCAAUCUUGACUCGUACUCAGAUUUCAUAAAUAUUUGUUUGUAACCAAAAACCUUUCAUCACUGAAUUAGAAAUUUGGAUAGCCCAACAUAAUAGCAUAGUGAGUUUCUUGCAAGUCACUAAGACAAUC